UCUCUCUCUCUCUCUCUCUCUAGUAGACGGUUUACCAAACAAACAUCCUUUGCAACCAAGGCAAACGUGGCAACAAUUAUGCAGGAAUCAAGUCAUGAAUUCGGAGGCCUAAGGUAUAAUACUUCCAUUUCAUCUAUAUUACGAUCAUCUUUUAGAUUAUAUUCAUGAUUCUCACAGAUAUAAUCGCCUAAAAAAUUGGAUAUUACGGUCCCAAUCAUUUUUAUCAUGAUUAGUUUAUCUAGAUACUGGUUGUCUAUUCUCAUUUUAAUGCCCAUGUUGUUAAUGUUACUUGCACGGUUGCACCAAGUCGGCAACAGUAUACACAAGGUAAUUACUUAAAUUCUAGCCCUAUCUUCUUAAUCGCACACUGCAGUGGAAGUAAAAAUAAAAACAAUAGCCUAGCUAGUUCAUAUGUGUUUCACAAUCAUGGUUGUACCUGUCCUAUGUUAUCAUUUAAUGCCCAUAUUGUUGACUUGCACCAAGUUGGCAAUAGUAUACACAAGCUAAUUCGUACUUUAUGCGAUAAUUCUAGCUUUAUCUUUUUUAUCACAUACUUCACUAAAAGUUAAAAAAAAAAAAAAAAAGAAUAACUAUAUUGAUAGUAGAUGAAUCA
rnacentral:misc_RNA from 1 species